GCCUGAUUGGCUUUUUUGGAAAAGCAUGUGACUCCCGAUCUCAAGGUCGUGAGUUCAAACCCCACAAUGGGUG
rnacentral:tRNA from 1 species